rnacentral:lncRNA from 1 species
CCCCAUUCCCUUCUCUCCCUCCCACCAAAAAGUUUGCGGCGGCUGCGCUGUUCUUCCCAGCAGCGCCGACUGCUGCUUUCGUUGGAAGCCAGAUUCGGUUGCGGGGGAGAUGGAAAGGCGUCCUGCGACGAGGGGCCUCUGCACGCCGCCGCCUUUGCGACCACCAUGACAUCUCAGUCUCACUCUCACACGGUUCCAGCAGCCGGGGCAAGCACAUCGCCAGGAGGUAGAGGAGUCCUCUGAUUCCAUAGCUCAUUGGUAGAAUAGUCAGACUUGUUUGUUGAUUCAGAUUGUAGGCUUUGGGAUUCAGAAUUAUUUGUUGAUUCCGAUUCUAUAGCUCAUUGGUACUCCCUCCGUUCCUAAAUAUAAGUCUUUGAAGAGAUUUCAUUAUGGACCACAUACGGAGUAAAAUGAGUGAACCUAUACUCUAAAAUGCAUCUACAUACAUCCGUAUUUGGUCCAUAGUGAAAUCUCUACAAAGACUUAUAUUUAGGAACGGAGGGAGUAGAAUAUUCCAUAGCUUAUUUGUUUGUUGAUUCAACAGAAGCUCGCAUGCUGGACCAGGAACUUCUGCUAUUAAUCCACUUAAAAGGAAGAGGGGUGUCUAUGGUAAGAAGAAGAAGAUGAUCCCUGUUACUCCUCAAGAAGAUCUGCUCUUUGCUUCCUCUGCUUCAGAAAGUGACGACGACGAGGACACCGACAUGAGUUCUGGUUCUGACAUGUGAGCUUGUCGGUUUCUCUAUGAAGUUCGUUUUGGCGCUCAUGAUUCUAUCCUUUCCUGUGUGCUUUUGACAAAUGAAUUGUGAAGACUUUGUGAUGCAUGUAAUGGACUAUGGACAUGUUGCUGUUGUUACUGAACUUAAGUGCCGAACUGCUGAUGUUAUGCUUGAUGCAGUCUUGAAUUUAUAUUUCUAUUUAUCUGUUGAACUGCUGCAGAUUGUUAUGUUCGAAUUUAUAUUGAGAAUCCUCUGUUUUCUACUGAAAAUACCCUGUUUUCUGAGAAAAAC